AUUGAACGCUGGCGGCAGGCCUAACACAUGCAAGUCGAGCGGAUGAAGGGAGCUUGCUCCUGGAUUCAGCGGCGGACGGGUGAGUAAUGCCUAGGAAUCUGCCUGGUAGUGGGGGAUAACGUCCGGAAACGGGCGCUAAUACCGCAUACGUCCUGAGGGAGAAAGUGGGGGAUCUUCGGACCUCACGCUAUCAGAUGAGCCUAGGUCGGAUUAGCUAGUUGGUGGGGUAAAGGCCUACCAAGGCGACGAUCCGUAACUGGUCUGAGAGGAUGAUCAGUCACACUGGAACUGAGACACGGUCCAGACUCCUACGGGAGGCAGCAGUGGGGAAUAUUGGACAAUGGGCGAAAGCCUGAUCCAGCCAUGCCACGUGUGUGAAGAAGGUCUUCGGAUUGUAAAGCACUUUAAGUUGGGAGGAAGGGCAGUAAGUUAAUACCUUGCUGUUUUGACGUUACCAAAAGAAUAAGCACCGGCUAACUUCGUG
rnacentral:rRNA from 1 species